CCUACGGGUGGCAGCAGUGAGGAAUAUUGGUCAAUGGCCGAGAGGCUGAACCAGCCAAGUCGCGUGAGGGAAGACGGCCCUACGGGUUGUAAACCUCUUUUGUCGGGGAGCAAAGCGAGUCACGUGUGACUCAUUGAGAGUACCCGAAGAAAAAGCAUCGGCUAACUCCGUGCCAGCAGCAGCGGUAAUACGGAGGAUGCGCGCGUUCUUCGGAUUUAUUGGUUUUAACGGGUGGUCAGGCGGAGGUGCAAGUUAGCGGUAAAAUUGCGGGGCGCAACCCCGUACUGCGGUUGAAACUGCAUCCCUUGAGUGCGCGAGAAGUAUGCGGAAUGCGUGGUGGAGCGGUGAAAUGCAUAGAUAUCACGCAGAACUCCGAUUGCGAAGGCAGCAUACCGGCGCGCAACUGACGCUCAUGCACGAAAGCGUGGGUAUCGAACAGGAUUAGAUACCCUGGUAGUC
rnacentral:rRNA from 1 species